AGGAGAAGUCGUAAAAAGGUUUCCGUAGGUGAACCUGCGGAAGGAUC
rnacentral:rRNA from 1 species